AUUGAACGCUGGCGGCAGGCCUAACACAUGCAAGUCGAGCGAGCGGCGGACGGGUGAGUAAUGUAGGGGGACUGCCCGAUAGAGGGGGAUAACUACUGGAAACGGUAGCUAAUACCGCAUACUAUCGGAUAACCCAUAUGGGAUGAGCUAGUAGGUGGGGUAAAGGCUCACCUAGGCGACGAUCUCUAGCUGGUCUGAGAGGAUGAUAAGCCACACUGGGCCUGAGACACGGCCCAGCCUACUACGGAGGUAGCAGUGGGGAAUAUUGCACAAUGGGCGCAAGCCUGAUGCAGCCAUGCCGCGUGUAUGAAGAAGGCCUUAGGGUUGUAAAGUACUUUCAGCGGGGAGGCGUUCCCGACAGAAGAAGCACCAGCUAACUCCGUGCCAGCCGCCGCGGUAAUUC
rnacentral:rRNA from 1 species